AACGAACGCUGGCGGCGUGCUUAACACAUGCAAGUCGAACGCGAAAGGGACUUCGGUCCUGAGUAAAGUGGCGCACGGGUGAGUAACGCGUAGAUAACCUGUCUUCAUGUCUGGAAUAAUACGCCGAAAGGGGUACUAAUACCGGAUAUUCUUGCUUUUCAUAAGUUAUGCAAGCAAAGGUGGCCUCUGCAUAUGCUACUGCAUGAAGAGGGGUCUGCGUACCAUUAGCUAGUAGGUGGGGUAAUGGCCCACCUAGGCGACGAUGGUUAGCGGGUCUGAGAGGAUGAUCCGCCACACUGGCACUGGAACACGGGCCAGACUCCUACGGGAGGCAGCAGUGAGGAAUAUUGCGCAAUGGGGAAACCCUGACGCAGCGACGCCGCGUGAGUGAAGGAAGGCCUUCGGGUCGUAAAGCUCUGUCAAGAGGAAAGAAGUGUACAAUGGCUAAUACCUGUUGUAUUUGACGGUACCUCUAAAGGAAGCACCGGCUAACUCCGUGCCAGCCGCAGC
rnacentral:rRNA from 1 species